UUCUGCCAGGUGGGAGGAGGAUGCUUCCAAUGAAUUAAGCUGCUAAGUACAAGGGUGCUUUGAGAACUGAGAACUAGCAUUGAGAAAUUGCAAAAAGGAAAACUGAUGGCUGGUUUCUUACAUAGUGAUGAUCAUAUGAAGUAUCAUGGGCACCGCAGCAUGUUUUUAUUACCAUUUUUGUUAUAUGAAGAGUGUCAGAUAUUGCAUUAUUUACGUAUCUUGAAUAUGAUUUUGUAUGCCAUGCUAAUUCACACCCGUGCACUUACCUAGUAGAUGGGUUUCGUUUCCCCAGAUGGUGUCUGAUGUCCAUGAAACAUAACACGUUUGUUUCAGGAACGGGUGAAGCAGAAGGUAUCAUCAAGGGGCAAAUAUGUGUCUGUAAAUAUCGGGCCAAUCCAAGUUGUUUCGAGCGAACAGGUGCAAGCGGUCUAUAAUGCCAUGAGGAGAGAUGAACGGAUGAAGUACUUCUUAUAAUCCGUUAGGUCUUUUUUUUGUAUAGAAUGCCAGGCUCCCCGGCGAUGUAUUUAUGAUACUGGGACUGGGAACGUUCACUGUGUGCAGGCAGCAUGACAGAUUUGGCCAUUUAUUUAUUCUUUCUUCAUAUAUAAACAGAUUUUCAUAUAUCAUAUAUGUGAAGGAAUGGCUGGAUCUGCUGUGGCUGUUGUCCAUCAGCACGACAGAAAAUCCCGAUUCAUGAUUUGCCUGCUUUCCAGUAGUUAGCUUGAUUAUAUCUGUCUAACCCAUGUUUCUGUGUUGUUCUAGCAACCAGAGAUCACUUGUAUUUGCUAGAUAUGUGUAACUUACUACCCUUUGUGACUGAAAGGAAAUAUAGUAGACAAUUUUGUUGUUACUAGUAACAGACAUGAUUAUCUUCAUGAAAUUCUCCUAUAUUUGAAUUACUCUUCA